UAAGUACAAACCCUAUCUUCCCCUUGUAAAUUCAUUGAAUGAUAUUAGGUUAUUUUGUUAAAGGGUUUUAGGUAUAUGCUUUGCGAUCUGUUAAUAAUGUGCUUAUAGGUAUGGGUUCAUGGAUUUUCUGUUUAAUGGGUUCAUGGAUUACAUUAUCUGUUAUGUUGAAUUGGGAAUGGAUUUAAUUUUGUCGGAUCUUUUAAUCACCCUAUGUUAUGUUG
rnacentral:lncRNA from 1 species